AGUGGAUGGGGAGCAACCUAGUUGUGCGUGUGUAAAGGUAGUGCCAAGAAAAGCGAUGAUCAUGUUGAAAAUCAAUUCCCGGUACCCGAAACCGACACAGGUGGGCAAGUAGAGAAUACUAAGGGGCGCGAGGUAACUCUCUCCAAGGAACUCGGCAAAAUGACCCCGUAACUUAGGGAGAAGGGGUGCCACCGAGAGGUGGUCGCAGUGAAGAGGCCCAGGCGACUGUUUAGCAAAAACAUAGGUCUCUGCAAACUCGAAAGAGGAGGUAUAGGGGCUGACGCCUGCCCAGUGCCGGAAGGUUAAAGAAGUUGGUCAGUCUUAGGAUGAAGCUAGCGACUGAAGCCCCGGUGAACGGCGGCCGUAACUAUAACGGUCCUAAGGUAGCGAAAUUCCUUGUCGGGUAAGUUCCGACCCGCACGAAAGGCGUAACGAUCUGGGCGCUGUCUCGGAGAGAGGCUCGGCGAAAUAGGAUUGUCUGUGAAGAUACGGACUACCUGCAUUUGGACAUAAAGACCCUAUGAAGCUUUACUAUAGCUUGGAAUUGUGUUCGGGCUUCCUGUGCGCAGGAUAGGUGGGAGGCGUAGAAGGUAUUCUUGUGGGGAUACUGGAGCCAACGGUGAGAUACCACUCUCAGGAGGCUAGAAUUCUAACUUAAUUAAGGACAGUUUCAGGUGGGUAGUUUGACUGGGGCGGUCGCCUCCAAAAAGGUAACGGAGGCGUACAAAGGUUCCCUCAGACUGGUUGGAAAUCAGUCGAAUAGUGCAAAGGCAGAAGGGAGCUUGACUGCGAGAAGUACAGUUCGAGCAGGGUGGAAACACGGUCUUAGUGAUCCGACGGUGCUGUGUGGAAGGGCCGUCGCUCAACGGAUAAAAGUUACUCUAGGAUAACAGGCUGAUCUCCCCCAAGAGUUCACAUCGACGGGGAGGUUUGGCACCUCGAUGUCGGCUCAUCGCAACCUGGGGCGGAAGUACGUCCCAAGGGUUGGGCUGUUCGCCCAUUAAAGCGGUACGUGAGCUGGGUUCAGAACGUCGUGAGACAGUUCGGUCCAUAUCCGAUGUAGGCGUGAGAAUAUUGAGAGGAGCCUUCCUUAGUACGAGAGGACCGGGAAGGACGCACCGCUGGUGUACCUGUUAUGAUGCCAAUUGUAAACGCAGGGUAGCCAAGUGCGGAGAGGAUAACCGCUGAAAGCAUCUAAGUGGGAAGCCCACCUCAAGAUGAGUAUUCUGGUGUAAGGUCACGGGAAGACGACCCGUAAAUAGGCACGAGGUGGAAGUGCAGAGAUGUAUGAAGCCGAAGUGUACUAAUAGACCGUCGGCUUG
rnacentral:rRNA from 1 species